rnacentral:rRNA from 1 species
AACGAACGCUGGCGGCAUGCCUAACACAUGCAAGUCGAACGUGAUCCAGGGCUUCGGCUCUGGUGAAAGUGGCGGACGGGUGAGUAACGCGUGGGAACCUGCCCAGUGGUAGGGGAUAACCGCGGGAAACUGCGGCUAAUACCCUAUGUGCCCUGCGGGGCAAAGAUUCAUCGCCAUUGGAGGGGCCCGCGUCGGAUUAGGUCGUUGGUGAGGUAACGGCUCACCAAGCCUGCGAUCCGUAGCUGGUCUGAGAGGAUGAUCAGCCACACUGGGACUGAGACACGGCCCAGACUCCUACGGGAGGCAGCAGUGGGGAGUAUUGGACAAUGGGGGCAACCCUGAUCCAGCAAUGCCGCGUGAGUGAUGAAGGCCUUAGGGUUGUAAAGCUCUUUCGGCGGGGAAGAUGAUGACGGUACCCGCAGAAGAAGCCCCGGCUAACUUCGUGCCAGCAGCCGCGGUAAUACGAAGGGGGCUAACGUUGUUCGGAAUUACUGGGCGUAAAGGGCGCG